rnacentral:rRNA from 1 species
CCUACGGGUGGCUGCAGUGAGGAAUAUUGGUCAAUGGGAGAGAUCCUGAACCAGCCAAGCCGCGUGAGGGAAGACGGCCCUAUGGGUUGUAAACCUCUUUUGUCGGAGAACAAAACCCGGGACGAGUCCCGGACUGCGUGUAUCCGAAGAAAAAGCAUCGGCUAACUCCGUGCCAGCAGCCGCGGUAAUACGGAGGAUGCGAGCGUUAUCCGGAUUUAUUGGGUUUAAAGGGUGCGUAGGCGGUCUGUUAAGUCAGCGGUAAAAUUGCGGGGCUCAACCCCGUAGAGCCGUUGAAACUGGCAGACUUGAGUUGGCGAGAAGUACGCGGAAUGCGCGGUGUAGCGGUGAAAUGCAUAGAUAUCGCGCAGAACUCCGAUUGCGAAGGCAGCGUACCGGCUCCAGACUGACGCUGAGGCACGAAAGCGUGGGGAUCGAACAGGAUUAGAUACCCUUGUAGUC